rnacentral:rRNA from 1 species
GCUCAGGAUGAACGCUGGCGGCGUGCAUAACACAUGCAAGUCGAACGAUGAAACUUAGCUGAUUUCUUCGGAAUGAAAUUAAGUGGAUUAGUGGCGAACGGGUGAGUAACACGUGAGUAACCUGCCUUACACAAGGGGAUAGCCUUUGGAAACGAAGAAUAAUACCCUAUAACGUCAAAAUAUCGCAUGAUAUAGUGACCAAAGAUUUAUCGGUGUAAGAUGGACUUGCGUCUGAUUAGCUAGUUGGUGAGAUAAAAGCCCACCAAGGCGACGAUCAGUAGCCGGCUUGAGAGAGUGUACGGCCACAUUGGGACUGAGACACGGCCCAAACUCCUACGGGAGGCAGCAGUA